rnacentral:lncRNA from 1 species
GGAGGACUCCCAGAGAGAGGAGGAGGAAUCACCAUGCCCAACGCGCUUUCUGAGGGCCCCCUGGAAGAGAGCAGGAGUUGCUCCUGCCCUUGGGGUGUGACUGCAGGAGGCUAGUGGCAGCCCCACCUGACCACAGUGUCUCACCACCAGACACCCCAUCCCUUCGGAUCCGGAUCCUGAACCUCUGCCCUCUAGAGUGUAAUUUUGUUACCCCACCCACAGCUCCAUCUGCUAAUGGAGACCUGACCUGUAGGCACAGGCCCGACCAGGGAGCCCCAAAGAGGAGGAUGGAGACCAGGACAGAAUCAGGACAGAAUUCAGUGCCAUCGCUUUCGAGUUGCAUGUUUUGGGGCAAGUUUCUAACCUGCCUGUAGCUCACUUAUGAUUUUUGUAAAAUCUAGAUAAUAAUAGUACCUACGUCAUAAGACUACCAUAUUUUGAAAAUGCAAUGAGUUACAUAAAACACUGAGAAGAGCAUCCGGUGCAUGUGAGCAUAUAGGUACAGUGACAGGGGAUAGGCAUUCAGCAACAGAAAGGUCUCGCCUCCCCAGGGGCCAUCCGGCUUCAUCCUCCUGAAAGCUGAGACAGGCAAGUGGCUGCGGAGUUGGAGCGUCCACGUUAAAAGCUCUUGCCCCGUUAUCAUCUCAGUUGAUGGAUUAAAGACACAAAAGGUGUAUAAAUGAAGAGCUGACACCAGGAUUCCUCGGAAGGAGGGACCUGCUUCUGCUGAGGGACCAAGGCUCCACCCAGAAGUAACAGAAGUCGUGGGAAAGCUUUGUGUUUCCACGGGCAAAGGAAAUGGAGGAUUUGUGAACUGGAAGAAAGCGAAGAAUGCACGAUUGGCUCUGAGGAAUGAAAACAGCACUUGGAAGUCGGAGAAAUGGAGACAGAAUCCAGACGGGCUUGGGGGGGCCAUACCGGAGGCAGCUGGGUCCCAGCCAUGAGAACUUCUUCAUGGUGGCUGCCAAAUUUUGCUGAACACGGCCGGUGGUCAGAAACACUUCUUACCUGGUGACUUAGUAUCUGCAUGUAGAGAGUGGCAUGUGCGCGCGCACACACACACACACCACACACACACACACAUAUAGAAAAAAACAGAGGAGAUGGGUUGGGGUUUGGGUUUGGGGAUGUCGUUAGCAAUUUCAUCUGGAUCUUAAGGGGCAGGAUGGCCCCCAGUCACAUCUGGGUUUUGUGUGCAAGAAUACACUCAGAAGCG